rnacentral:rRNA from 1 species
AACGAACGCUGGCGGCAUGCCUAACACAUGCAAGUCGAACGAGACCUUCGGGUCUAGUGGCGCACGGGUGCGUAACGCGUGGGAACCUGCCCUUAGGUUCGGAAUAACUCCCCGAAAGGGGUGCUAAUACCGGAUAAUGUCUUCGGACCAAAGAUUUAUCGCCUUUGGAUGGGCCCGCGUUGGAUUAGCUAGUUGGUAGGGUAAAAGCCUACCAAGGCGACGAUCCAUAGCUGGUCUGAGAGGAUGAUCAGCCACACUGGGACUGAGACACGGCCCAGACUCCUACGGGAGGCAGCAGUGGGGAAUAUUGGAGAAUGGGCGAAAGCCUGAUCCAGCAAUGCCGCGUGAGUGAUGAAGGCCUUAGGGUUGUAAAGCUCUUUUACACGGGAUGAUAAUGACAGUACCGGGAGAAUAAGCUCCGGCUAACUCCGUG